rnacentral:lncRNA from 1 species
GGAUAGCACAGAACACAAAUUGAAAACCAUGAGCUAUGAUCUUGAAGAGCUCUGCCAGCCUUAGGUUAGGAGAAGACUCCAAGCCUGCCGAGAUACAAAUGCUGAGGCUGUCGCUGACAAUCUCAGCGGACCUGACUCCUGCCCAGAGAUGGAGGAUAAAUCCAGCGAAAGAAGGAAAAGACCCGGACUCCUGCGGUAAUGAUGUGUCAGUGCGGCCUUUCGGGUCACGUGACUCAUCAGGACAGAGUGGGAGCUGAGUGACAGAUGAAAUGGCCGAGCAAACCCAAGGUCUGGACUGAUCUACAAGGCACAGCCUUAGGAGGUGCACCAUGCAGACAGAAGAACAAACUCCCAGCCGGGGCAGUUGCAGGGAGAACCCGCACAUUUACGAACGAUGAAGGACACUAGAGGAUCCAAAGUAAACGACCAAGAAACCAUCGAACCACCCAAACCUACAAAACGAGAGUCGGAGGGAGGGGGGAUAGGAGGAGCCUAGACCGGAAGCCAAUGG